CAGGUUGAAGGUUGGGUAACACUAACUGGAGGACCGAACCGACUAAUGUUGAAAAAUUAGCGGAUGACCUGUGGCUGGGGGUGAAAGGCCAAUCAAACCGGGAGAUAGCUGGUUCUCCCCGAAAGCUAUUUAGGUAGCGCCUCGUGAAUUCAUCUCCGGGGGUAGAGCACUGUUUCGGCUAGGGGGCCAUCCCGGCUUACCAACCCGAUGCAAACUGCGAAUACCGGAGAAUGUUAUCACGGGAGACACACGGCGGGUGCUAACGUCCGUCGUGAAGAGGGAAACAACCCAGACCGCCAGCUAAGGUCCCAAAGUCAUGGUUAAGUGGGAAACGAUGUGGGAAGGCCCAGACAGCCAGGAUGUUGGCUUAGAAGCAGCCAUCAUUUAAAGAAAGCGUAAUAGCUCACUGGUCGAGUCGGCCUGCGCGGAAGAUGUAACGGGGCUAAACCAUGCACCGAAGCUGCGGCAGCGACACUGUGUGUUGUUGGGUAGGG
rnacentral:rRNA from 1 species